UUUUGAAGGAAAUAUGCCAAACAACAAUUAUAUAAAGGUGAACAAAGAAGAGAAAACGAGCGUGGUGGCCCAAUUGGCCAGCCUCACUAUGAAGGAUACAAACCUGCAAACAAAUGAGAAAGAGACUGCAGAAGCAAGCCACAGAAAAAGUACUGAGGAGGUGAAGGAAGGGAAGAAGACAGGGAAUGAAGAUGAGAACCAAAUUAGAACUGAAAUCGAAGAGCAAAAGAAAUGCCAACAACAUGAAACUCAGAACAAGAAAUGGAAAAGGAUGGCACGAGAGGCUCUGAUCAAGACCACAGAUGAAAGGAAAAGAAGGAGAUGGAGCUGGGGAAAAGGAAGAAUGGUGAAACCAUAAAAAUAGAGACUGAUCAAGAGGAAAUACCCACCAAGAGGCAACAUUAUGAGACGGAGGAACACUUUGUUGAGGUUGCAAAGCAGCCCUACCAGGGAUCAUGAGACUCCUAAGUUGAAACUGGCAUGGACUUGAAAAUCCAUAGGCAGUUAGAGCUCUUAACAAGCUCUUGAAACAACAAGAUCCCAACCUUGUGUUCCUCAUGGAAACAAGGAGAUAAAUAGGCUAAAAAACAGAGGAGGAUUAGUUAAUGUUAUGGGAACCGAUUGUGAUGGAGAAGGAAAGCAACGAUCAGGAGGAUUAGCAGUUUUGUGGGACAGCACAUUGGAAGUAGAGAUAACAUCCAUGUCAAGGAACCAUGUGGACAUGAUCAUUCAAGAAAAUGAAGAGGGCAAGCAUGGAGAAUCAACUGUUUUUAUGGUAAUCCAAACGCAACAAAUAAACAAAGAUAAUGGGAUGGGAUCUCCUAAACUCUUUGGGACAAACCAAAAACAUGUCGUGGUUAGUGUGUGGAGAUUUUAAUCAAGUUUUGGAGCAAAAAGAGAAACUCAGAGGAUAUGCUAACACUUGGUCUAACAAUCAGGUUGGGGAAGCAAAUAUUUAAGAAAGGCUAGAUAGAGCAGUGGCAACAAUAGAUUAGAAGGAAGCAUAUUCCCGAAAGCAAUGGUAAAGCAUCUUCCAAGAUACAGAUCAGACUAUUGUCCAAUCCUAAUCGAUGUUCAUGGGGAGAGCUUAAAAAGGAAGAAGAGGCCAUAUAUUUUCAGAUUCAAAGAAAUGUGGCUUAGAGACUCUGAAUGCAAAUAGAUUAUCAAAAGAAGCUGGGCAGUGAACUAUGAUCAGAUUGAAGAGAAACUAGGAAAGUGCAGCAAAGAAUUGCAAGAAUGGAGGAAAGAGAAAUUUGGGGAGCUUCCGAAACAAAAAAAGGAAAAACAAGAACUCAUACGACAACUUACAUCUCACUCACAAACUGAAGAAACAAUUCUGAAUUUGAAAACGGCACAGGCAGACUUAGACAAACUCUUCUAUCAAGAAGAGAUUAAAUGGGCCCAAAGAUCUCGUGCAAACUUGUUGAAAGUGGGGACAAGAACACUCGAUUUUUUCAUCAGACGGCAUAUCAACGAAGAAGAAGGAAUAAGAUUGAAAGACGAAGGAAAUCUCUAUGGAGAAGACGAGAAAAUUGAAGGAACCAUUGUAAAAUACUAUGAGUAACUGUUUAAGGGGGAGAGAAUUUGGGAAGUUGAGAAAGCUACAGAAGCAAUUAGAGAAAGAAUAUCACAGAAAGCUUACAACAUCCUGGGCAGCAACUUCACUAGAGAGGAGGUUAAGGAAGCUACGAAGCAAAGGUACCCA